rnacentral:rRNA from 1 species
UACGAAGGGGGCUAGCGUUGCCCGGAAUCACUGGGCGUAAAGGGUGCGUAGGCGGGUUGUUAAGUCAGGGGUGAGAUCCUGGAGCUCAACUCCAGAACUGCCUUUGAUACUGAAGAUCUUGAGUUCGGGAGAGGUGAGUGGAACUGCGAGUGUAGAGGUGAAAUUCGUAGAUAUUCGCAAGAACACCAGUGGCGAAGGCGGCUCACUGGCCCGAUACUGACGCUGAGGCACGAAAGCGUGGGGAGCAAACAGG